UAAAAAAUUCAUUUAUAUGAUAAUUAGAGUAUUUCUCUCUCUCUCUCUAAUAUCCUAAACACUAUCUAAGAAUCAAUUCUUCCCGUAUUAAAACUAAAGCCCUCUUAAACGGUUCUUUUAUACUUAGAUAUUCCAUUACAAAAGAAAAAAGUUUUAUCUCGCACCCUUCUUUAAUCAAACCCCAAUAUACCAAGAAAUUAAGUGCUUCGUUUAGGAACAUGGUUACCCCGCAUAGACAUAGCCUCUUCGUACACCGAGUACAUGAAUAAUGAGGAAUCUCGAUCCUAAGCGAAGAACAAUGUUAUGGUUGAUCUCUCAGUCUCAUUUUUCACUCAUUUCUCUACCAAAAUUCCCCCACAAUAACUCUCUUGAAAGGACAAAACUUAAUGCUCCUGAAACCUCUUUGGAAAUCCAGACAGGUCCUGAGGAGUUCAUAGAUCAAAUUCCUACGCAUGGCCUGAAGUCAUCAUGCAGAUUAUUAAGAACAAGGAGGUGCAUGGAUGUCAAAGAUGCGAGAGAAAGGGAGAAGAUUCUUCAAGCUGUGGGGACUGACAUAAUUUGAAUGUUUUGAAGAGAAUUAUUCAGACCACAACAUGGGUACAUGAUAGAUAAUUGGGGAUAAUCCAUGACAAGCCAUUCUCCUACAUAAACAGGCUCUAUAUGUGGAAUUUCAAGUCGCCUUGUGGGACGAUAUGCGACAGCCCCGAUAUAUAUAUUUAUCUACUCUUUGCUUGUAAGUGCAAGGUGUUAACCUUUUCCAAGAUUUACUGCAAAUAAAUGGAAUUAUGAAUUUACAAUAUAUAUAUAUAAUCCAACCCCAUUUUUAA
rnacentral:lncRNA from 1 species